GGCUGUUAUAAGAUGUCCUUAGAACCUUCUCUUCUUCAGGCUGAAGUGCCCCAGCUCUUUCAUUCCUUACCUGUAAGGGAGGUGCUCUAGCCCUCUGAUUAUCUUUGUGUCUCUCCUCUGGACAUGCUCCAACAACUUAAUGUUCAGCUCAAACACCUAAAAAACAUCAGCACAGGCUCUUACCUCUGCAAGAAAGGUGACUGACAGUCUCAUCUGUUCUGCAAGUCUGGCUUUAUUGUUCAAGAUCAGUAUACAGGUCCAAGUUUA
rnacentral:lncRNA from 1 species